GACGUAGGGCGCGAGCGUUGUCCGGAUUUAUUGGGCGUAAAGAGCUCGUAGGCGGCUUGUCGCGUCGACUGUGAAAACUCGGGGCUCAACUCCGAGCUUGCAGUCGAUACGGGCAGGCUAGAGUUCGGUAGGGGGAGACUGGAAUUCCUGGUGUAGCGGUGGAAUGCGCAGAUAUCAGGAGGAACACCGGUGGCGAAGGCGGGUCUCUGGGCCGAUACUGACGCUGAGAAGCGAAAGCGUGGGGAGCGAACAGG
rnacentral:rRNA from 1 species